CAUUUAAGAUAAUGUAGCCACAUAUUUUGAAAAGAAAAGAACAGAUUUAAAUUACAAACAUUUACUAGGAAACUAUUUGCGAACGUUCGCUUUACUUUAAAUAAUGAUGAGAGGUAUUUGAAUACUAAUUGCAACACAGUAACAGGAUUUAUCCCAAUUUGUGCUUCAAAGCACGGUCUUGUUUUUCCACUAGGGCAUCAUACGUGCAACGGAGUUUCUCCUAGACGUUUCUUGUUGUUCCAUCCCUGGAUCCGUCUGGACGAGGGCAAUGACCACAAGCCGAUACUUCGGAUAUCCUGAUAACUCACCUCGUGCACAGGAUCAUCAACGAAGUAUCUUUUCGUCGAUUAUUCCAUUGGAACGUUGGAAAUUACUGCAAUGGCCGAAAGAUAACAGUGGUUCUGAGAUAGGGACGGCGACGCGACAGGAUAACAGAAGAAGAAAAUUACUACGUCGGCGGAGAGUGACGCCUGCGCAGGAACAUAUGAUACUUCCUUUAUAUUAUACAACGUAAUAGAUUAAAAUCCACCUAAUAAGGAACAUCUUUUCAAUCAGGAUGGAAAUUUGUAAUCAGAUCUUAAUUGCUUGGGUAAUUUAAAUCGUAUCUAAUCAGAGUUCGCAACAUUUAUUCAACUUUCUUUUGGCGAGGAUUCCGUGUUAAUUGUAUUCAAAUGCCGGAAUAUAAUCUCUCUCGCGAAAGAAGCUGCAUCACAAAAUCGCAUAUUUGCUAUGGAAACGCGUUCAUCGAGCUCGAAAGUGGCCACAGGACUAGAGUACGGUUCUACAAGGUUCUGAAGAGUCUGCAGUUAUAGGAGGCGAACAAACACACAAGGAGCGCCUUUCGAUCGUAAUUGGAACCGCAGGGGCCUGACCAACGUCCGUGUUCAAGCACUCCUUUUCCCAUAACCAUCAUUCUUCGAGAGUGUCUCCGCUUCUCUAUAAGAGAAACACAAUAGCCCAUAUAUGCAGUGACAAAAUAACGUCGAGUUACGAUCGAUUCUCGUUGCGAAGCGAUUUUGGACCAACGAAAUCCCAUUUGUACAACAUGGUACAACACAAGAAAAGCGAAAUAGGCAGGAGAGAAGCGCCCUAAGAUGAGAUCUCGGAUCACCCACGAGGGAGGAGCAAAUGUCGCAAAUUGCCGAUAACGAUCAGUCAGCGGGAGUGAUGCUUUCUUCGGCUUAUAUCGCAAAUAUCUUGAUUGAAUUUGCUGAAAUUAUUGUUGAUUUCAAUAAUUUUGUCUUGUUUACAUAUUCUAUCGAGAUAUCUAAUAAAGAGACUCGUAGUCGUUCGCAACUUUUCUGACAAGCUCUAUAUUCGACGACGCGCAUUUUGCUUCAACCUCGGAUGAUUUCUCGCGAAGCAGCGUCCAUGCUUAUGCGGCUGCAUGUCGGCAGGUGCUUUAAAAGGGAUUACACGAUUUCGUCAUAAUAUGUACGCGCAUUGGAUAGUUUGGAAUAAUGUAUUAAAAUAAAUACCACCCUUCCUCGGAGAUUUAUUAUGCCUGAUUGUUACAGCGUCAGGCUCCUCUUAGAGUUCUAUAACGAAGCCAACAAGCACGAACCGACGAGACGACCGAGACUGAUAACAGCGGUAACUCGGCAAGAAAGAUUCAGAGGAUGAUUCGGCCGUUCAUUCGGAUUCUGAGGAUACCAUCGAUCCUG